GAUGAACGCUAGCGGCAGGCUUAACACAUGCAAGUCGAGGGGUAUAGUUCUUCGGACCUAGAGACCGGCGCACGGGUGCGUAACGCGUAUGCAAUCUACCUUUUGCAGAGGGAUAGCCCAGAGAAAUUUGGAUUAAUACCUCAUAGUAUGUGAGAAUGGCAUCAUUUUCACAUUAAAGUCACAACGGCAAAAGAUGAGCAUGCGUCCCAUUAGCUUGUUGGUAAGGUAACGGCUUACCAAGGCAACGAUGGGUAGGGGUCCUGAGAGGGAGAUCCCCCCGACUGGUACUGAGACACGGACCAGACUCCUACGGGAGGCAGCAGUGAGGAAUAUUGGACAAUGGGCGCAAGCCUGAUCCAGCCAUGCCGCGUGCAGGAGGACGGUCCUAUGGAUUGUAAACUGCUUUUGUACAGAAAGAAACACUGGUUCGUGAACCAGCUUGACGGUACUGUAAGAAUAAGGAUCGGCUAACUCCGUGCCAGCCGCCGCGGUAAGAC
rnacentral:rRNA from 1 species